UAAACCGGAUAUUGUUGUUAGGGCUUGUAAGACUGAUAGAUGAUGACUAUGCACGUCAAGAUAUUAAAAAUCAUUGCGCUGCAUCCAAACUACUGUCGAAACGAGCUUGAGAUUCGACUGAUUUGGCCGGACUCGAACACCUGUGAAUGCAUCUGUGAUACAUCAAAUGUCCCCAUAGAUAUGUUGCCCGAUUCAGGUAUUUAUGGGCAUUAAAAUGACUGAUCGAACUUUGCUCUGACGCAUUUGGUGGCCUCUAUGAACAUUUGGAAGGACGAUAGGUUCGAACUACUUUGAUGGACCCAAUGUGUUUAGUUCGGCGAUUUGGAAAUUUUUGAGUCGGAAGACCAUAGUUUAACUUUAACAGAAAUGAAGAAACCGGGUUUUUAGACAGAGCAGCAAAAAAACUAAAAUACUAAGCCAACUAAAUGCCUAUUAUUUCACAUCGACUGUUUUUUAAAUAAAAUUGAGCAAUUUUACA